AGAGUUUGAUCCUGGCUCAGGACGAACGCUAGCGGCGUGCUUAACACAUGCAAGUCGAACGGAAAGGCCCUUCGGGGUACUCGAGUGGCGAACGGGUGAGUAACACGUGGGUGAUCUGCCCUGCACUUUGGGAUAAGCCUGGGAAACUGGAUCUAAUACCGAAUAUGACCAUGCACUUCCUGGUGUGUGGUGGAAAGCUUUUGCGGUGUGGGAUGGGCCCGCGGCCUAUCAGCUUGUUGGUGGGGUAAUGGCCUACCAAGGCGACGACGGGUAGCCGGCCUGAGAGGGUGACCGGCCACACUGGGACUGAGAUACGGCCCAGACUCCUACGGGAGGCAGCAGUGGGGAAUAUUGCACAAUGGGCGCAAGCCUGAUGCAGCGACGCCGCGUGAGGGAUGACGGCCUUCGGGUUGUAAACCUCUUUCAGCACAGACGAAGCGCAAGUGACGGUAUGUGCAGAAGAAGGACCGGCCAACUACGUGCCAGCAGCCGCGGUAAUACGUAGGGUCCGAGCGUUGUCCGGAAUUACUGGGCGUAAAGAGCUCGUAGGUGGUUUGUCGCGUUGUUCGUGAAAACUCACAGCUUAACUGUGGGCGUGCGGGCGAUACGGGCAGACUUGAGUACUGCAGGGGAGACUGGAAUUCCUGGUGUAGCGGUGGAAUGCGCAGAUAUCAGGAGGAACACCGGUGGCGAAGGCGGGUCUCUGGGCAGUAACUGACGCUGAGGAGCGAAAGCGUGGGGAGCGAACAGGAUUAGAUACCCUGGUAGUCC
rnacentral:rRNA from 1 species